rnacentral:rRNA from 1 species
UACAGAGGCCUCGAGCGUUAGGCGGAAUCACUGGGCUUAAAGCGUGUGUAGGCGGACUUCUAAGUACCUUGUGAAAUCCCACGGCUUACCCGUGGAACUGCUUGGUAUACUGGUCGUCUUGAGCUUUCUAGGGGCGAGCGGAACAAAUGGUGGAGCGGUGAAAUGCGUAGAUAUCAUUUGGAACGCCAAUGGUGAAAACAGCUCGCUGGGGAAAUGCUGACGCUGAGACACGAAAGCCAGGGGAGCGAACGGG